rnacentral:rRNA from 1 species
GAACGGUAACAGGAAGAAGCUUGCUUCUUUGCUGACGAGUGGCGGACGGGUGAGUAAUGUCUGGGAAACUGCCUGAUGGAGGGGGAUAACUACUGGAAACGGUAGCUAAUACCGCAUAACGUCGCAAGACCAAAGAGGGGGACCUUCGGGCCUCUUGCCAUCGGAUGUGCCCAGAUGGGAUUAGCUAGUAGGUGGGGUAACGGCUCACCUAGGCGACGAUCCCUAGCUGGUCUGAGAGGAUGACCAGCCACACUGGAACUGAGACACGGUCCAGACUCCUACGGGAGGCAGCAGUGGGGAAUAUUGCACAAUGGGCGCAAGCCUGAUGCAGCCAUGCCGCGUGUAUGAAGAAGGCCUUCGGGUUGUAAAGUACUUUCAGCGGGGAGGAAGGGAGUAAAGUUAAUACCUUUACUCAUUGACGUUACCCGCAGAAGAAGCACCGGCUAACUCCGUGCCAGCAGCCGCGGUAAUACGGAGGGUGCAAGCGUUAAUCGGAAUUACUGGGCGUAAAGCGCACGCAGGCGGUUUGUUAAGUCAGAUGUGAAAUCCCCGGGCUCAACCUGGGAACUGCAUCUGAUACUGGCAAGCUUGAGUCUCGUAGAGGGGGGUAGAAUUCCAGGUGUAGCGGUGAAAUGCGUAGAGAUCUGGAGGAAUACCGGUGGCGAAGGCGGCCCCCUGGACGAAGACUGACGCUCAGGUGCGAAAGCGUGAGGAGCAAACAGGAUUAGAUACCCUGGUAGUC